rnacentral:rRNA from 1 species
AACGGCAGCACGGGAGCAAUCCUGGUGGCGAGUGGCGAACGGGUGAGUAAUAUAUCGGAACGUGCCGGUCGUGGGGGAUAACGUAGCGAAAGCUACGCUAAUACCGCAUACGAUCUACGGAUGAAANCGGGGGAUCGCAAGACCUCGCGCGAUUGGAGCGGCCGAUAUCAGAUUAGGUAGUUGGUGAGGUAAAAGGCUCACCAAGCCGACGAUCUGUAGCUGGUCUGAGAGGACGACCAGCCACACUGGGACUGAGACACGGCCCAGACUCCUACGGGAGGCAGCAGUGGGGAAUAUUGGACAAUGGGCGAAAGCCUGAUCCAGCAAUGCCGCGUGAGUGAUGAAGGCCUUAGGGUUGUAAAGCUCUUUUACCCGGGAUGAUAAUGACAGUACCGGGAGAAUAAGCUCCGGCUAACUCCGUG